rnacentral:tmRNA from 1 species
GGGGUCGUAUUGGAUUUGACAGCGAUAGCGUUGUUAGGUGUAAGCAUGUCGAGCAAUGUGGUGAGUCUCGUUAAAAAUUAGUCACAAACUAUAAUUGACAACACGUCAUACAGACUUGCUGCCUAAUUUGACUCAGUCGAAUAAGGCUUAAUCUCGUGGAAUAAUAGUACACAGACAAGUUCCCUCUCCUACCUUUCCGCCUGUUAAUAGUAGGAACUAGAGGGACCAAUCAUUUCGGGAUAGUGUUAGUGAUACUUCUAAGCUAAUGUGAAACUCAGAAGAUAAGUUUAAUUAUUGGGUGUCUUUAUCCGAGGUUAAAUCGAAAAUUAAUUAAAGAAUAAACAUGUAGA